CCUGUUGUUUCGUCAACAGUAGCCUAUGGGAGCGUGCGAUAGUUAGCAAUGAGGUCGUGCGAUAGCAGAACCAACAAUGAAGCCCUUCCGAAAGGAGAAGUCAGAACCGCGAGGGAACGACAACUGCCGUUAGUAUCGAAUGGCAGGGGAG
rfam:Human gut metagenome DNA, contig sequence: F2-X_017280.